UCCCCGGUGGUCCAGUGGUUAAGACUUUGUAUUUCCAAUGCAGGGACUGCAGGUUCAAUCCCUAGUCGGGGAA
rfam:Ovis aries breed Texel chromosome 1, whole genome shotgun sequence.